rnacentral:rRNA from 1 species
AACGAACGCUGGCGGCAUGCCUAACACAUGCAAGUCGAACGAGACCUUCGGGUCUAGUGGCGCACGGGUGCGUAACGCGUGGGAAUCUGCCCUUGGGUUCGGAAUAACUCGCCGAAAGGCGUGCUAAUACCGGAUGAUGACGUAAGUCCAAAGAUUUAUCGCCCAAGGAUGAGCCCGCGUUGGAUUAGCUAGUUGGUGAGGUAAAGGCUCACCAAGGCGACGAUCCAUAGCUGGUCUGAGAGGAUGAUCAGCCACACUGGGACUGAGACACGGCCCAGACUCCUACGGGAGGCAGCAGUGGGGAAUAUUGGACAAUGGGCGAAAGCCUGAUCCAGCAAUGCCGCGUGAGUGAUGAAGGCCUUAGGGUUGUAAAGCUCUUUUACCCGGGAUGAUAAUGACCGUACCGGGAGAAUAAGCUCCGGCUAACUCCGCG